rnacentral:hammerhead_ribozyme from 1 species
GUACUGCUGAGGAGUCCCACAAUAGGACGAAACGGCCGUCCAAUGU